CUUUUCCUCCAAGUAGGACCCGUUCUUAGGCUCACGUCUGGGGCCAGCAGAAGCUGGGUUUCUCCAUAGUAACGGAAUGGACUGAACAGCGUGAGCUGGAAAACGCUGAGAGGCUGUUGGAGCUGUGCGGUAAUUUCAGCAAGAGGUGAAGAGGGGAGAGUACAAAGAAAACCAGUGCGUGUGGGAAUAGGGAAGGGGCGGACCGAAGCGGUGGGGGACACGUGGGGAGAG